rnacentral:rRNA from 1 species
AGAGUUUGAUCAUGGCUCAGAACGAACGCUGGCGGCAGGCCUAACACAUGCAAGUCGAACGCCCUAGCAAUAGGGAGUGGCAGACGGGUGAGUAACGCGUGGGAACCUUCCCUAUAGUACGGAAUAUACCAGGGAAACUUGGAGCAAUACCGUAUACGCCCGAAAGGGGAAAGAUUUAUCGCUAUAGGAUGGGCCCGCGUAGGAUUAGCUAGUUGGUGAGGUAAUGGCUCACCAAGGCGACGAUCCUUAGCUGGUCUGAGAGGAUGAUCAGCCACACUGGGACUGAGACACGGCCCAGACUCCUACGGGAGGCAGCAGUGGGGAAUAUUGGGCAAUGGGCGCAAGCCUGACCCAGCCAUGCCGCGUGAGUGACGACGGCCUUAGGGUUGUAAAGCUCUUUUGGCGGGGACGAUAAUGACGGUACCCGCAGAAUAGCCC